AGCUGGCACCCAUUCCAAGCAGGCUUCACAUCGCUACUCCUUUUAUAUGGCAUCAGAUUAAGGGGCAGCGAGCUUCCACCAACCGGCAGCAGGACCCACCUUGGCAGCGGAGUCGGUUCUUCUUGCUUUGGAAAAAAGACGGAGGCCCUGCAGGGGGCGGCUUCUUUUGCUGCAGCCACUUCCGCUAAAGCAGAGAAUUCCAGCCCGACCUGCGUCUUUUGUUAUUCACUUCUGCGGAACCCGUUUUUUUAACACAAAGCACCAACUUUAAGAUCAUAACACCCUGAGUUAGGACACCUUUUGUCCUGGUCUGCUUGGAAGGAUCUCAUGGGACAGGGAACCAGAGUCAAGCGUGCUCACCCAGAGCACAAUGGGGUGGGAGCUUGGCAGGUUUACUUUUGAUUCCUCUCCUAAUUCUGCCCACCAUGGUGGCGGCGUCGGCGUCGGCGUCCUGUGCCGUCAGGGCACCUCUGACUUCGGCGAGCCCUCGGAAAUGUCCUGCCCGGGCCUCCUAAGUUCAAGGAUGCGGCUUCCUCCACGGAGUCCAUCCACCUCCUGCCUGGUGCCCAGCGGGGACCUCGCCGCCUCCUCCGCCUCCCUCCAGAAGGUCGCUGUUGAUCAGCCGGCCCGCCUUGGCCCCAGGAGCUUCUCCGGGGCCAGUCGCUUCCAGCGCAUUCCCGGUCCGCCUGUGCACGGUCAGGAGCCGGGCCCCAGCUUCCGCCACGCUGCGCUGUGCCCGCGGCAGUUGCGGCACCAGGGGGCUGGCUCUGCAGGGCGUGAAGUCGCUUCGCUUCUCCUCCCCAGCCAGAUCCGCCCCGGCACCCGAUUCUGCUUUAUUCCCCCUUUCGCAUCCCGCUCACGUGGGAUGACCAGCAGGUCAGCACUGGAAGCAGAAGUCUUACAUGGCUUUCCUUCUGACAACUCCCCAGCUCCUGCACCUAAAUUCUGGCCAGGUUCUGGCCUAGGGCCACCCCUGCGAGGUUGGCCAGAAGCAACAAAGAGCGGGGAAAGCAACGCAAAUCUGUCCCCGUUCACAAAACCCUUUCUGAGAUUGUGCAGGCCUCUUAGUGCCGCCGCUGCGUUGUGCGCUGUUUUGAUCACAGCACGCACAAGCCACGCACGGGGGGAAGCACGCGCUCCUUCGGAUUCUCCGAUCCGAAUCCUGAUUCCCUGUGAUUUGUGUGUUCUGCAUGCAGCUCGAAGGGGAGCGCGGGAGGCCGAGCACACCCUUGCCAGACACCUUGGCCCCUGGGGAGCCACAUUCUGUCCUCACAGUGGCUUCCUGUCCACGCUUCUGGCUCCGCAUCGAGUCAAUCGGGCUUCGAUCUGGUGGCUUCAUGAGAGACGGCGCCGUCUGUCCUUCUCUUUUGCUUUUCCCCAGGAGCUUUCGGAGCGCCUUUGACCCGGAGGCCUUCUCGCCUGUUUCAUUCUCGAUUGCUUCAUCUUCGUAGUUUCAAGGUGCGGCCAUGAGGACCUGGUCUCUCCGGAUUGUCCUGGCGCUGCCGUGGAUGGGGCUCUUCACAGGAGGCUGCCAGGUAUGACGGGAGCCCAGAGGGAAAGCAGGGGACUCGAGUCCACAGGGAAACACUCCGCUCUUCCCACCUGGUCCCAGGUCAUCUCCAGCUGCGGUGCGCCGGUGAAGGAGGGCACCCACGGCGACCUGUCCUUCACGGCCCGGCUCACUGCCCUUCCUUGAUGGAGCAAAUCCUUCCCAGACUGGUCUUCCCCUCUUCUUCUGCCUAAAGCAGUUUGACAGCAGGAAAGCAACUUGCUUCUCGAUCAGCACAUGAACACGGGCAUCAAACACAGAAACUCAGAAAGAGAACGAGUCAGAAGGGGUCUCCCGGGCCAUCUAGUCUGACCCCGGCUCCAGCCGGCUCCGCUCAUGAGGUGCCCGCCAUGCGCAUGUCCAGCCUGUCCUUGAACAAGAUCUGGUAGUGAGAAAUCCAGAGGAGGAAGCCAAAUUCUGCAGGUGUCUGUGGCACUCAGAACAAACUUAGAGGAGCCUACGUCAAACUGUACGUUUCCCUGGCAUCUACACGCACUUUUAAAGAACAGUCCUCACUUUAAGGUUAUGACGAAGCACCCGGACCCCCCUAAAAAGAGCUUUCUUUAGAAAAUCAGUAUUCAGCACGUCUCUGCAAAAGGUGGGCUCUCGUCUCAGAAGCUUCGGUCGCUGAGCAACCAGCUGCCCAGGAACCCGGGUUCCUCGCCCCCCACCCCCAAUCCACCCUCCUGCCCAGGGUUGCCGGCUUCCCACGCUCUUGCUGGGAACUUUGUGCGGUGGGAAAAUGUGGGUGGGAGAACUGAGCCGGGGCAGCCCCCAUUCCUGCGGCACCUGCAGAAACAGCGGAGAGCCCUGAGCGCCCCUUCCCAGGGUGCCCUGAGGGGCCCAGGAGUGGGGGCUUGGGCAGUGGCCGCGGAGCCCCUUCGGGCGCCCUCUCUGCUCGGGCCUGCCUUCUCCCAGGGCGUGUGGGGAGGCCUGCCGGCCGCACCUCGCCCCCCGGUUUGCCCAGUCAGCCAGUGUCCUCUCCGGUCCCCUUUUGGCCAGAGGGAGAGUUGGGGGCCGCAGCAGCUCCUCCGCCCCAAAGCUGGCUGCACCAGGUCGACUGUGGGGCAGGAUGGGGCACUGUGGGCAUGACAGGCAGGCCAGGGGGCUUCCGUCACCGAGCGGCUGAUGUCCAGCUUUGCAGGGACGAUGCGCCCAAGGCCGCGCCAGGCCGGGGUGGCUGCCAGGCGUCCGGGGGAAGCGUCACCGCUCACGCUGGAUCCCGCCCGGUGCCUGGGGACGUGUGAGGAGCCUGGGCUCUCCUUCGCCCCGGACCCCCACCCGGGCUGACUCGGCCAGGGUCUGAGCUCCCGGGGGGCCCGCCCAGCAUUUGCACAGCGCCUGCCAGGAAUCGGGCCCCUUGCGCCCGCU